AACGGCUCAUUAAAUCAGUUAUCGUUUAUUUGAUAGUACCUUUACCUACUUGGAUAACCGUGGUAAUUCUAGAGCUAAUACAUGCUAAAAGUCCCGACCUCCGGAAGGGACGUAUUUAUUAGAUAAAAAACCAAUGCCCUUCUGGGCUUCUUGGUGAUUCAUGAUAACUUUACGAAUCGCAUGGCCUUGUGCCGGCGAUGGUUCAUUCAAAUUUCUGCCCUAUCAACUUUCGAUGGUAGGAUAGUGGCCUACCAUGGUUUCAACGGGUAACGGGGAAUUAGGGUUCGAUUCCGGAGAGGGAGCCUGAGAAACGGCUACCACAUCCAAGGAAGGCAGCAGGCGCGCAAAUUACCCAAUCCCGACACGGGGAGGUAGUGACAAGAAAUACUGAUACAGGGCCCAUCUGGGUCUUGUAAUUGGAAUGAGUACAAUUUAAAGCCUUUAACGAGGAACAAUUGGAGGGCAAGUCUGGUGCCAGCAGCCGCGGUAAUUCCAGCUCCAAUAGCGUAUAUUAAAGUUGUUGCAGUUAAAAAGCUCGUAGUUGAACUUUGGGUCUGGGUGACCGGUCCCCCGACUGGGUGUGCACUGGAAACCCGGAUCUUUCCUUCUGGAGAACCUCAUGCCCUUCACUGGGUGUGUUGGGGAACUAGGACUUUUACUUUGAAAAAAUUAGAGUGUUCAAAGCAGGCUUUUGCUCGAAUACAUUAGCAUGGAAUAAUAAAAUAGGACGUGCGGUUCUAUUUUGUUGGUUUCUAGGACCGCCGUAAUGAUUAAUAGGGAUAGUCGGGGGCAUCCGUAUUCGAUUGUCAGAGGUGAAAUUCUUGGAUUUUUCGAAGACGAACUACUGCGAAAGCAUUUGCCAAGGAUGUUUUCAUUAAUCAGGAACGAAAGUUGAGGGAUCGAAGACGAUCAGAUACCGUCGUAGUCUCAACCAUAAACUAUGCCGACUAGGAAUCGGGCGAUGUUUUCAAUUUGACUCGCUCGGCACCUUACGAGAAAUCAAAGUUUUUGGGUUCUGGGGGGAGUAUGGUCGCAAGGCUGAAACUUAAAGGAAUUGACGGAAGGGCACCACCAGGAGUGGAGCCUGCGGCUUAAUUUGACUCAACACGGGGAAACUCACCAGGUCCAGACACAUUAAGGAUUGACAGAUUGAGAGCUCUUUCUUGAUUAUGUGGGUGGUGGUGCAUGGCCGUUCUUAGUUGGUGGAGUGAUUUGUCUGCUUAAUUGCGAUAACGAACGAGACCUUAACCUGCUAAAUAGCCGGGCUCGCUU
rnacentral:rRNA from 1 species